CUUACUAAGCUUGGUCUGGUGAUAGCUAGUCUAAUCAAUUACAAACCAUUUUAUGAUCCAUAAAGAACUUUGCUCCGGGUUCACUCUCACUCUGAUCGACAGCAACCAGACUGAAGACCUAUAUGUUAGAACCUGUGAUGCAGAAGUGAAUCUACCUACCUGCUAAAGAGACCUGCUGGAAAUAGUGAUGGCAGCCAGUGCACCAUUUCCGCCAUAUCCCCAUUAUCUCCCAGAGAUCCGACUUGUCCUGCUGGGGUCUGUAGAUGAAGGCAAGAGGUCAGCAGGAAACACCAUCCUGGGAAGAGAGGAGUUUAGCUCUCAGAAAACUGCUGAAUGUGUGACAAAACGUGGAUGGGUGGGACCAAGGCAGGUCACUGUUAUCAACACACCAGGGUGGGGUAGAGAACAGCGACUUUCUCAAACCCCUCAGAAUGUUAGAGAGCAGCUUUUACAUAGUGUCUUUCCUCCAGGAGCCCAUGCUCUGAUCUUGGUCAUACGUGCAGACAGGAAGUUCACAGAAGCCAACAGGGUAGCACUGCAGGACCAUAUGGAGCUUCUUGGUGAUAGGGUGUGGAAUCACACCAUUGUGCUGUUCACCUGUGGGGACUGGCUGGGUGAUACCCCAAUUGAACAGUUUAUUCAUAGUGAAGGUAUGCCUCUCCAGUGGGUUGUGGAGAGAAGUGGUUACAAGUAUUACCGCAUCAAUAACAGCGACAGAGCAGAUGUAUCCCAGGUCUCAAGGCUGCUUGAGUUGAUAGAGAUGAUGGUGGCAGGAAACAAUGGCCAUUUUGAACUUGACAAAGAAACAUAUGACAGAGAGGCAGAGAGAGCAAAGGCUCAAGAACAAGCAAUACUAGAGAUGCAACAGAAGGCUAUGGCCAUGAGGAUGAAAUGGGGCGCUCCACCACAACCCUAAAAGUGAAUUGCUUUGACUAUCACAUUUCAUUACCAUCUUUGUUUAUUUUAAAUGGUAUUUAGAGUUGUUAGUAAUUGAAUUGGUUUUGCUAUUUUGCACUGAAAUGUAAUUAUAUUUUUGUUAUCGAGAGUUGUCUAGCAGAGCCCUCCUGCCUGAAUCUGACGGACUAGCUGACCCAGAUAAAGAGGACACUCAAUUUCAUAAUAGCAGAAUGCAAGCCACACAAGUAGAAUGUAUUAUGUAGAACUAUCAGCUUUAAUUCUUCAAUGAACUGUAAAGCUACAGUGUGCCGUAUUGGAGAAAUCAUAGAAUUGUAACCGAAUACCACUCCAUUUCCAUGCCAUUUCCAAGCAUUCGAGGGGAGGGGGUGGAAAUGGCUCAUGUUUUACAUUGUUUGUAUGACUUUUUUGUUGGUUUUUUUUUAAUUAUUUGCUUGUUUUCUGGAUUUGUGGGAUGCCAAAACGUUGUAACCUAGUAAUCUUACUGCUGUAAUUUGGCACAGUGUGAAAUGAUCUAUAUAACAUGUUACCAAUAACAA